rnacentral:sRNA from 1 species
GGUCUGGGAUUUAUACGCCGGAUCCCCGAAGACAUGGCAUCUGUGGAGUGCAAACGCUGGGAAAGGGGAGAGAUAGUUAACUAUUCUUGCAUCGUCUUGACUAACUAUUGCAAUGCAAGUUUUGGGGUCAAAUCCGUUGCAAACUUCUUCUCUUCGGGCAUGGAGUCCAACCACUUGAACACUCCUCUAACACGUUGGAUGGGCGCCUCACGGUCCACGACAGUUUCGUCAGUAUCACCACUGUCUUCACGUUUAUGAUCCGAGGGUUCGGCGGCCCCGCUCAUCCCAGCGACUCUCUGUAAUACCCAUUGCAUUUCUAGGAGAUCCCAGCUCGGGAGCGGUCGUUUAUCCGGAUCAUCCGUGCUAACGGUAACUCUCUGCCCAGAUACGAGAGCCUCGUACUUAGGCUGGCCGUUCUUCUCCCUCUUGCCUGUUACACAAGACAGACCCUCACCAUCGUCGUAAUCAUAGAGGCCCCGAGAUGUCUCCGGUUCACUAAGUAAGUCGAUUUCAUCUUUUCCGUGCGCGGGUUUUUUUUGCCAGUAGAAUUCGAUUUGCAUCGCCUUUCGAUCAGCAGACAAAGCCACAGGUCGCAGCGCGAACCUACCCGCCCCCCAAAGCGCAUGGGCACGUUUAUCGAGACUAAGCAUAUUCGAGCAAGUGUCGACGGGAUCAGUCAGGUUUGGCGAAUCCCGAAAGACUUCUGCCUUCCAUCUAUCCACCCGUUCCUUCUCCCAGAAUAUCUUCAGGAGAUCCCAAAAUCUCUGAGAAACUCUUGGUUCUCGCUGUGCCGUUCUAAGAAGGCAGAGUGGGUAGAUAUGGGCCACUUCUGGAUACGUCCAUCCUAUGAUCGAUGUAUCGAUGACGCGCUGCUCUUUGCACUUGCGUUUUGUAACCCUGAAGAAAAUGCGCAUCAGAAAAGCUUUCUAUUAUGGGUGGAAGUACCAGUGACACUCACAUCUGUCGACAACCAAAUCGGAGUCAUAGAUGGUUGCCUCCAAAAACCCACGAGUGACCGCGGCUUUAGGCAUCUCACUCACAUCGCGAAUCAUGCUCUCCAAUUGGGAAACAUCCGCGGUUUGGCACAAAGCCCAGAAGCACGGUGGUACUGUCACGCUACCCGUCACAUCAUUUAAAACCGUCUUCAACUGCUUCAGAAUGUCCGUUCGCUGGCUUGAACGUACAUUCCAAUGUUCACCUUCUAGAUCACUCAAGGGAAUCUUCAAAGUCAUCGCCAUCUCCGUUGAUGAUUCAAAGCUAAACAGGAAAUCCGAUUGCGGUGGCCCUGGGGAUCAGGAUUCAAAAACAGAAGGUCAGUUGAGUCACACGUUUUUGGGCUGAUUCAAAGUGGAACAGAAGGGAACUUUUAUCUUCCGUGGUGAGUGGCGACCUUAGGAGGAUGAGGUCGCUGAAGGGGAGUUGAGAGCAGGUUUGGCUUCCUCUGUUCCCUGGUUUUCUCCCCUUGCCUUGUUGGGGUUGUUUGCUCCUGCUUGGUCAGGGGAGGCGGAUGGGAAAGGAGGAGAAUACCGUCGAGAGGCUGUUCUGAUUUCCAGAGAAGCUGACCUGAGUUCGUGACUGACUGGGUAGGUCACUUUCGGGGCAAGCUAUCAGUGUGUGGUUGCGAGCACCAGGAGAAGCAAUAUGGUCUUGCUAACCACUGUUUGCUGCUUGAACACGCUGUAUAUGUUGGCCCUAGGCUGCCUAUCACGGACUAGCGCACCGCACAUAUAUGCCUCAGCUGCCUACAUGCUAAUACAACCACUUAGACGUCCCACAGGCUUGUGUAGUAGCUCCAACACCGUACAAUAUCCCGUGACCCAUAGCGUAAGCGCCAACAUCAAAUUAGCGUCCCAAUCAGUCGGUUCCGUUCCCUGGUUUCAGGAUCCUCGACUUUGCCUCAUUCGGUUUAGGUGGAUUCAUAUGCUCAUUCGGAGCAAAUGCCAUAUCGGCAGAAGGUUUCGUUGUUCUUCUUUUUCGAUUACGUGAAAUUUUUAGAGAGAUAGAUACAAGGGAAACAACUACCAUAAGUUUCUCUAAUCAGUGUUUUUAAUUCCAACUCGCUCAAUUCACACAACCCCUCCUCUAAAUAUAAAAACAAUACCCAAAAACCUCUACUAUUAGCAACUUGGGGGCAAAAGAAAAAGAAAAACCUCUUAACUUGCGUAUGAUAUCAUCGUCCUCAUCAAUUUCACGCACAACAAACUGCUACCACCCCCAUGCCAAUCUGAUUCCAGCGCAUCGAACCCAUAUCCCCAGCCCAAAAAGCAACCAACGCAAAAGGGGAUUUUGAAAACAAACAAAAGGGACAGAAGGCCACCCAAUAGAGUCAAUGAAAAAAAAAAAAAGGGAGGGGGGGAACAAAAAAACCAAACAACAGGCAGGCAGGUUGGAAGGCACGCCAAAAAGCACCGGACGAAAGCAACGAGAAGGGGUGCCGGGAAACAGAAGGGCAAAACACAUAAAUCAGAAAAAGCCGCCGCACACCAAUCACCAAUUCAAACCAGUCUUGUUAUCCACGCGCAAAAACCAAAAACUGAAAAAAAAAGCCACCCAAAAACAAACCAAAAACAUGCAGAUCACAAAGAGCCACCCAUCCCAAUUUUGCAAUGUUUCCCUCCCUCAGUUUAUAUAUGUAUAUAUGUAUGUAUUGUUGCACCCCGGUCCCCUUGUCAAAAAGUGGGGAAAAUAAACACGUUCAACCACCCUGUAGAUUGCUCGUUGCCUUAUCGUGCCCGAGCAUAACAUGCAUGCAAUUUUGAACGAAGCCUCCCAGUUGAAAAACAACAGCAAAAAGAAAAAAAAAAAAAAGGAAAGAAAAGAAAAGACAAAACGUAGCAGACACGAACUACUCGCAUCGUACGUGCAGGGAUAUCACCUCUCCUUGCCAAAACAUAUAUUGGCGAUUGCAUCCAAAUAGUUUCUCAGGUCCGCUUCCUGCUCUUUCUAUGCCGUAUUUCUCACGGAAGAGAGCAAGGGCCAGCCAAUUUUCCACGACUGUAUAUCGGACAAAGGGACCAGAGGACAAGGGGGAACGAUCGAGAAAGACAAAAAGGCAAAAGGCGGGAGAUGUAGGUAAGGGACAAGAAGAAAAAAAGGUGAUAAUCGUCGCCACUUCGCCUCUAUUUUCUCUCCAUACAGAGACAAAGAUAAAUAAAAGAGAAGGACGAAACCUGCGACUAGUUUUCUUUUUUCCUUUCCGUUUCCUUUUCUUUUCCAAAAACCCUUUGCUUUUUUGCCUUUGCCCGUUUGUAAUUUCUCCUCGACGUCUUCGGACAAUAAAAUGCCCGAAGAACAGGAAAACGAAAACGAAAACAAUGCACAAAAGAGAUUAAAACAGAAUUCACAAGUAGCCUCCGGAAUUGUCGACGAUGUAAAACAAAAUAUAACAGAAGGCCUCCCAAAGACAUAGGAAAUGAAAAACAAGAACAGCACAUUGCGGGCGUAUAGAAAACAAAAAAGAACACAAAACAAUAACCCAAAAAGCAGAAACCGAUUUGGGGAUGAAAAGGAGGAAGGGGAACAUAGGGUGAGAAAUACUAAACAGGUUUUCUUUCUUUCUUUCUUUCUUUCUUUCUUUUUUUUUUUUUUUUUUGCUACCAACAAAAGAAUUGAAGCUAUUAGUGUCAUAAGUACGUAUAUUUAAAUACGAUAAAAAAAAACACCAUGCUCAAUUUCCUUCCUGGGAGCUCGCUAGUUAACUUUAUACGUGGCCCAGGAGUCGGUUGGUUUGGUGCUGGUUAGGUACUUCUUCGUUUUAGGGGAGAGGGGGGAGGAAGUGAUGAGGAGAAGCGGGAAAGGAGAGAAGAAAAUGUGAUUAACGGGUCGCCCCAUGUAGUUUAUAUAAAGUGAACUCUUUUAGCGGGUUGUUUAUGAAAGGGAGGAAAGAGAAUUAAAAGCAAAACAAGUGGGGUAACUGGGAAUGGGAACGCAUGCAAAGGAGUGAACUGAAAAAUCUGCUAGAAGGGGGAAAAGGACAGCAAUGUCAAGAAACAAGAAACCAAAUGCGGUUGGAUAUUUUCAUUGCUGGGAAUGAAAUCAUUUUUCACCACAAAAACUAUCAAUGGCUUUCAAAUAAGCAGACAGGGCCCGAUUUUGGGAAACAAGGCCUCUAGAAAUAGAGUCGCCGGUUAUCCAAAACGAACAAGAUACGCCCUGACCAAGCAUUCGCAGCACUCAAACGU